rnacentral:rRNA from 1 species
UCUAUAAUAUCUGUUAUAGCAGGAUUAAAAAGUGUAUUAAUACAAUUAGAAAAUGGAGAAAAUGAAGAAUUAGAAGUACAAGUUACUCCUGAUUUUAUUGAAUCUAAUUUAACUAGAAAUGUUAGAGAUUCUGAUUUAGAAUUAAUUUUAGAAAGACCAGCUAAGUACCAUACAUUUAAUGAGUUACCUAUCUUAUCUAUGUAAUAAUAUCCCCUAUUUUAUAGGGUUUAUCUCUUCUUUAUAAGAGAUGAUAUAUAAUAUAUAUUCAUUUAAUCACUUUAAUAGAAGUAGAUAUAUCCCUUCUCUUCGAGAAGGGGGUAAAUCCUAACCCACAGUGUGGGUUAGGAAUAUAUAUUUUCUAAGAAAAGAGGUUAAUCUCUUUUCUUCUUAGGGGGUUAAUCUAUUUAAAAUAAUAGAUUAAUUUUUCUAUUUUUGACCAUUUAGAAAGAUUUAAAUCUUAAAAGGAGAAGUAUUGAAAAAUGGUAUAUAAAAUAAAUAUUAUUUUAAGGAUUUUAAAACUAAUACUAUAAAUUGAUAAAAAGGUUAAAAAGAUAACCAAUCAUAUCAUGAAAAUGAGAAGUAAUAAAUCAAGUGGAAUGAAACAUCUGAGUAACUUGAGAGUAAUCAACAGAGAUUAUAUAAGUAACGGUGAGUGAAAGUAUAAUAGUCUUUAAGUAUCAUCUAGAGGUGAGAAUAAAGUAGUAUCUACUACUAAGACAAAAGAAUAGUAUUAAGUAAAAGUACCGAGAGGGAAAAAAAGUAAAUAGAAUAAUAAAGAGCAAUCAUAGUAUGGUGUACCUCUUGUAUAAUGGGCCAGUGAGUUAUAUAUAUUAGCGAAGUAAAUUAUAAAUAAAUUGAAUAAAUAUAUUAAAUCAUAAUAUUAGUUAAUAUAUAUAGGCCCGAAAGCAAACGAUUUACAUAUGUCCAAGUAUAUUUAUAUAAAUAAAUAUGACUGAAUAGGUAGAUGUAGCAAUAUCUUCUAAAGAGAUGUAUGUAGUAGUGACAGGCAAACCUGGUUUGCAGAUAGCUGGUUUUCUGCGAAAUAUAUAUUAGUAUAGCCUUUAAUUUAGUAUUAACUGGUACAGCACUUAAAUAUUUUUGGGGAAUUAGAUGAUAAUUUUAUCAAAAUGUUUAAAUCUCGGAAACAGUAAAUCAUAUAUUAAGGAGUCAGACUUAUUGCGAUAAGGUAGUAGGUCUAAAAGGAAACAACCUAGAUUAUUUUAUGUAUGUCCCUUAAUUAUAUUCAGUGAACAUAAUCUAUUGAUAAAUUUAUAAUAUAUAUAUAUAUUAUAUAUGAUAGACAAUCAGUCAGCGGGUUUGACAAUAAUCAACUGUUAAUGGACAUGUAACAAUGUACUGAUUUAAUAAUACCCUUAAGGGUAUAUUUCCUUUCUUUAAGAAAGGAUAUCAAAGAUAUAGAGAAAAUAUACGGGUCUAAAUAUAAUACAGAAUAAUAAAUAAUAAUCCCCUUUCAGGGGUAUUAUGGUAGCAGAAUAUAUAAUAAAGAAUAAAUUAUAAAGAAUAUGCUGGCUUGAGUAACGAAAGAUAGUAAAAGACUAUCCUCCAAAUUAUAAGGUUUUAUAAUAAACAAACGGUCCCUAAGAUAAAUAUAGAAAUAUAUAAUUAAUGGGAGAAAGAACAAGAAAAGUAGAUGAACCGUACUGUAAACCGACACAGGUAUAAUAAAGGAGAAUGAGACAACUACUAUGAAUGAACUCGGCAAAAGUAGCAAAAAGCUUAAAGUCGUGCGACUGUUUACCAAAAACAUAGCUUACUGCGGAUUAGAAAUAAUUAGUAUAGUAAGUGAUAUCUGCCCGGUGUAUGUUUGAAUAAAUAUAUAAUUAUUUAAAGAUAAUAAUAUAAAAAAUAUAUAAACGGCGGUCUUAUUCUGAGGAUCCGAAGGUAGCGAAAUUCAUUGACGCAUAAUUGGUGUCCUGCAUGAAUGAAUACACGAUGCGACAACUGUAUCCAUAGUAGACUCAGUGAAAUAGCAAUCGCGGUGAAGAUGCCGUGUACCCGUAGUUUGACAAAAAGACCCUAUGCAGCUUUACUAUAUCUUUUUUUUGAUUAAUUUAUUUUUUAUUUCAGUUAAUUAGGUUAUAUUUUAUAUAUAUAUAUUAUUUAUAAUAUAUAUAUUUAUUAAAUAAAUUGAGAUACCUAUAUUAAAAAUAUAAUAAUCUUAUUUAUAAAUUAUAUAAUUAUAUUAUAUAAUGUUGAAGACAUAGAAAAGAAGUUAGUUUCGAUGGGGCGUCGACAUCAGAGAAAGCAUCUGAUGUGUCUAAAUAUAUUAAAUAUAUUAAAUAUAAUAUUAUUAUAUAAUAGAUUAAAACGUACAAUAAUUUUAUAAUGAGAAUAAAAUAUAAAUGUAAGGAUAACAACAUAAUUGUGCGAUGAUAAUAACACUAACAAGUGGAAUUAGUACAUAAGUAGAGUGUAGUGAACAGGCAUAUACAAUAGAUAUGGAUGUCGAUAACGGAUUAAAGUUACGCUAGGGAUAACAGGGUAAUACCGCGUGAGAGUUGACAUCGUCAGCGGUGUUUGCCACCUCGAUGUCGUCUAGACUCAUCCUCCUGGUCGUAGCAACUAGGUAGGGUAGGACUGUUCGUCCUUUAAAGAGUUACUUGAGAUGGGUUAAUUACGACGUGAGUCAGUAAUGAUUUUAUCAUCUAUGGGUUAUUACUUAAUUAUUGCCUUACGUGUACGAAAGGAUUUUAAGGUACUUUCCUAUGGUUUAUUAUUAUAUUAUAUAUAUAAAAUAUAUAAUAUUAUAUAUUAGCUAAGAAAGUUAAGGAUACAUAUUGAAUGCAUAUUAAAUAUUAAACCUAUUAAUUAAGUAAUUUAACAUAUUAUAUUAAUAUGUUAUAGUAAUAUACUAUUAUAAAUAUAGUAUAUAUACUAAUAUAUAUAAAUUAUAUACCAUACAAUAUUUA